GAUGAACGCUGGCGGCGUGCCUAAUACAUGCAAGUCGAGCGAACGGACGAGAAGCUUGCUUCUCUGAUGUUAGCGGCGGACGGGUGAGUAACACGUGGAUAACCUACCUAUAAGACUGGGAUAACUUCGGGAAACCGGAGCUAAUACCGGAUAAUAUUUUGAACCGCAUGGUUCAAAAGUGAAAGACGGUCUUGCUGUCACUUAUAGAUGGAUCCGCGCUGCAUUAGCUAGUUGGUAAGGUAACGGCUUACCAAGGCAACGAUGCAUAGCCGACCUGAGAGGGUGAUCGGCCACACUGGAACUGAGACACGGUCCAGACUCCUACGGGAGGCAGCAGUGGGGAAUCUUCCGCAAUGGGCGAAAGCCUGACGGAGCAACGCCGCGUGAGUGAUGAAGGUCUUCGGAUCGUAAAACUCUGUUAUUAGGGAAGAACAUAUGUGUAAGUAACUGUGCACAUCUUGACGGUACCUAAUCAGAAAGCCACGGCUAACUACGUGCCAGCAGCCGCGGUAAUACGUAGGUGGCAAGCGUUAUCCGGAAUUAUUGGGCGUAAAGCGCGCGUAGGCGGUUUUUUAAGUCUGAUGUGAAAGCCCACGGCUCAACCGUGGAGGGUCAUUGGAAACUGGAAAACUUGAGUGCAGAAGAGGAAAGUGGAAUUCCAUGUGUAGCGGUGAAAUGCGCAGAGAUAUGGAGGAACACCAGUGGCGAAGGCGACUUUCUGGUCUGUAACUGACGCUGAUGUGCGAAAGCGUGGGGAUCAAACAGGAUUAGAUACCCUGGUAGUCCACGCCGUAAACGAUGAGUGCUAAGUGUUAGGGGGUUUCCGCCCCUUAGUGCUGCAGCUAACGCAUUAAGCACUCCGCCUGGGGAGUACGACCGCAAGGUUGAAACUCAAAGGAAUUGACGGGGACCCGCACAAGCGGUGGAGCAUGUGGUUUAAUUCGAGGCAACGCGAAGAACCUUACCAAAUCUUGACAUCCUUUGACAACUCUAGAGAUAGAGCCUUCCCCUUCGGGGGACAAAGUGACAGGUGGUGCAUGGUUGUCGUCAGCUCGUGUCGUGAGAUGUUGGGUUAAGUCCCGCAACGAGCGCAACCCUUAAGCUUAGUUGCCAUCAUUAAGUUGGGCACUCUAAGUUGACUGCCGGUGACAAACCGGAGGAAGGUGGGGAUGACGUCAAAUCAUCAUGCCCCUUAUGAUUUGGGCUACACACGUGCUACAAUGGACAAUACAAAGGGCAGCGAAACCGCGAGGUCAAGCAAAUCCCAUAAAGUUGUUCUCAGUUCGGAUUGUAGUCUGCAACUCGACUACAUGAAGCUGGAAUCGCUAGUAAUCGUAGAUCAGCAUGCUACGGUGAAUACGUUCCCGGGUCU
rnacentral:rRNA from 1 species